GAAGGUUAGCAAUAGCAUUAACGAUUCGUUGACCGGAUAACUGGUGUGAAUUCUGUCAAUUAGUACGAUAUUAGUAAAGUAUUGUUUUAAAUUUACAUAUGUGACACUAAAAAAUGUCUUACGAGCACGCAUCAAAAACGUCACCAAGCUCGUCAAGAUUUGGAAGAGAAAAUGAACAAAGUCAACCAAAUUCAUCGAUGUCAUCUUCACAAAAUCAAGGACAAUUUGGUGGUAGAGGCAAUGGUCAUCCUUCAUGGUUAAGAGGAAAAGAAAUAGGUUUGUACUAUAGAGAUCUUCAAAGAAACAGAGCUAAGAAAAGGGAAUUACGUAUUAUUAAAUUAAAGCAAAGAGUAGAACAAACAAUGAAACUAGCAGUUGAAAACUCUAAAGGACUGUAUAAUAAAUUAUGCGACGACGAAGAAAAAAGGAAUAGUACAAGCAAUGAUCUAGAAAACAAAUAUACUCACAUUCAUGACUCGCAGUUUAAAAGAAAGUUUUUAGAAAUUUUAUCUGGUAAUAUACAACACAAUAUUACCAAAGCUAUGUCAGUUAAAUCCAAGCUUGAAAGGGAUCCUGUUUCCGAUAAAAAUCUAUUGGACGAAUACAAUGGGAAAUUGUAUAACAGCGAUUACAAAGCUAUGCAAGCUUUUCGAAAGAAGUUACCUGCUUAUGAAAAAAAAGCGGAUAUUUUAGAUUUAAUAAAAAAAAAUCAAGUUAUGGUGAUCAGUGGUGAAACAGGCUGUGGUAAGACGACGCAAGUUGCACAAUUUAUUCUAGAUAACGAAUUAGAACAGAGAAAUGGUAGUAUUACUAGAAUAAUUUGUACACAGCCAAGGAGGAUAUCGGCAAUAUCCGUUGCUGAAAGAGUAGCUGCCGAAAGAGGAGAAAGACUCGGCAAAUCAGUGGGCUUUCAAAUAAGAUUAGAAAAGAUAUCGCCUAGAGAACGUGGAAGUAUAUUAUUUUGUACUACUGGUAUGCUCUUGCAAUUUAUGCAAUCCGAUCCAGCGCUAAAAGGAUUUUCGCAUAUAAUAUUAGACGAAAUUCACGAACGUAGUACCGAAAGUGACUUUAUCAUCACUUUAUUGAAGCAAAUAAUUCCUGUGAGACCAGAUUUGAAAGUGGUUUUGAUGAGCGCUACGCUUAAUUCCGAAAGAUUUUCCAGUUAUUAUAACGAUUGUCCAAUAAUUCAUAUACCAGGAUUUACAUAUCCUGUAGAAGAGUUUUAUUUAGAAGAUGUAUUAUUAUUAACAGGUUUUCGUUUAGUCGAUAGUUCGUUUAAAGAAAAAGAACCUGGUUAUAGAAAACAUCAGAAAAAAUACAAGCAACAGCACGAAAAAACUUGUCACUUCUUAAAUAUUAUAAAUCCAUAUAUAAAGCAACUUACCUUAGAAAAAGAAUAUCCUAAGUUUGUUAUAGACCAAUUAUGUAAUCCGGAUAGUGAAAAUUUAUCUUUAGAACUUAUAGAAGAAUUGAUCCAUCAUAUAUGUACGACAAAAGAUCCUGGAGCUAUUUUAGUAUUUUUACCUGGAAUGAUGGAUAUCGUUAAAUUAAACAGAAUUAUGUUGAACUCCGAACGAUAUCCAAAUAGUAGAUAUAUUAUUUAUCCACUUCAUUCUCGUAUGCCAACGAUCGAUCAAAGGCUGAUAUUUAAGGAACCACCUACUGGCAUACGUAAAAUAAUAAUCGCAACGUCCAUCGCUGAAACAUCUAUAACGAUAGAAGAUGUAGUGUAUGUAAUCGACUGUGGAAAAACAAAGCUUUCCAAAUUCGAUGUGAAUAAAAAUAUGGAAACGUUGGAACCCGAAUGGGUAUCUAUGGCUAAUGCUAAACAAAGACGAGGUCGUGCAGGAAGAGUGAAAAAAGGAUAUUGUUAUCACCUCUACACUAAGGCAAGAGAAAUGACGUUCGAUGAUUACCCACUACCUGAAAUGUUACGUACGCGGUUAGAGGAAGUGAUAUUACAGAUAAAAAUUUUACAAUUAGGAGAAGCGAAACAGUUUCUUGCUAGUGUUAUGGAUCCACCUAAUUUAAAAGCUAUCGAUUUAUCGCUUGAUUUAUUGAGGACAUUAAAUGCUUUAGACAACGACGAACAUUUGACACCUCUAGGAUAUCAUUUGGCGCAACUUCCUCUUGAUCCUAGAACUGGUAAAAUGAUUAUAUGGGCCGCACUAUUUUCAUGCAUAGAUCCAGUAUUUGCAAUAGCAGCCAGUCUCACGUUUAAAGAUGCUUUUUAUUGUCCUUUGGGAAAAGAAGAACAAGCAAUGAAAAAAAAGUUAGAACUCAGUAUGUGGCAAUUUAGCGAUCACAUUGCUCUCGCGGAAGCUCUCAGGAGAUUCGAGAUCAAUUAUAGCUUUGGUUUUUGUCACGAAUAUUUUUUGUCCUUCAACACUUUGAAACUUCUUUCCGAAAUGAAACGUCAAUUUACUCAACACUUGUACGAGAUGAAGUUUUUAGAUAAUGAUAAUCCAAUCGACGAGGAUGCUAAUAGAAAUUCUAAUAACAUAGCAUUGAUCAAAGCUAUAGUUUGUGCAGGAUUAUAUCCAAACAUUGCUACUAUAAAGUACGGAUCUGAUUCGAAGCAUGGUGUAAUAGCUUGGACACCCGAAGAUGGUUCCGUGAAAUUACAUCCAUCCAGUGUUAAUAAUAAAAUGAGGAAUUUUCCAAGUCCUUUCUUAACUUAUUUUACAAAGCAACGAUCCACUGCUAUUUAUUUGCACGACACAUCUUGUGUCACAGCUCCAAUAUUAUUAUUUGCUGGAUCAAAUAGUUCAAUUAAAAGAGAAAAUGGCAAGUAUAUAAUCACAUUAAAUACUUCGCAAAACUUUGUUUGCGAACCUAGAACAGCCAAAGUUAUACAGGAUCUUCGACAAGCAAUAAAUAAUUUAUUAGAAUAUAAAAUUUCGCAUCCUGGUACAGUAAAUUGGAAUACUCAAGAAGGACAAAUACUUAACGCUCUUAUAGAAUUUGUAUCCCAAACGGACGAAGAAAUGGGAUUUGGUAAAUUGACAUGGUAAGGUAGACGAAUAUACAAUCUUGAUCAAUGUAAAAAUAUCUGAAUUGAAAUCUUUAUUCAAAGGGACAAAUUAUACAUCAUGUAUUACUGAUAGAUAAUUAUGUUCUUCGUGAGAGAAAAAAAAAAGAAACAAAAAAGAUAAUAUAUAAGAAGACGUAUAUUAGUCAGAAGUGAUCACACACUUGGAGCAGAGCUUACAUAAACCUUCAAUUAACGUGAUUGGUGGUCGUUCGACUCGCGGGUAGAAAAGCCUGCGCGUCCUGAUGAAAACUCGAUAUCCUUGAUGAAGACAACAUUUAUAUAUAUAUAUAUAUAUACGUAUAUAUGUAUCUCGUGUGACCAGAAUACUCGAAGGCUUACGAUUGGUCCUCCACAGUUGAUCCAUCCUUCAUUUCCUUCGAUCCAUUUCAUUCCAAGGUAAAAGUUUUUCAAUUGAAUUUCUACGUUUGAUAUAUAACGUAUCCACGUCCCUCCAUCUUUUUCUCUUUAAUCAUUCUUUUGAAAUUUAAACUAGAUUCCUUUCUUCUUCUUUUUCUUCUUUCGUCAAAGAAAUUAUUUUCAAACGAGUUUCGGGAUGAAUAAAAUCGAAAUCCUAUCUUCGUAACACCGAUCACGUAUAGAAUGAUAAAUGUAUAUCGUAUGUAUGUAUGUAUGUAUGUAUGUGGGAUAGAUUUAAAAGGGGAGACUGCUCCUGAUAUAUUGGCGCGAAGUUCAAACGAGCACUCUGUGAAAAUAAAUCAGGACAUGGAAGGAAGCAGAGAAAGAAAGAGAGAGAGAGAUAGAGACGACAGUAUUGUUUCGUCACUCCUUAGAUCUUGAUGAAUAGUCGUAAAGAGAAAGACGGAUAGAGGAGAGACUCUGAAUAAAGUUAAUCCGCAUUCAUAAUCACGAAACGCACGGAACAUCUACGCACGGUAUUAAAGAGAAUGAGAGAGAGAGAGAGAGAAAGAGAGAGAUAGAUAGACAAGCAGAAAAUGAGAAA